UACGUGAGUAACCUGCCCUCGACUCUGGGAUAAGCCUGGGAAACCGGGUCUAAUACUGGAUACUACCUCUCACCGCAUGGUGGGUGGUGGAAAGGGUUUACUGGUUUUGGAUGGGCUCACGGCCUAUCAGCUUGUUGGUGGGGUAAUGGCUCACCAAGGCGACGACGGGUAGCCGGCCUGAGAGGGUGACCGGCCACACUGGGACUGAGACACGGCCCAGACUCCUACGGGAGGCAGCAGUGGGGAAUAUUGCACAAUGGGCGGAAGCCUGAUGCAGCGACGCCGCGUGAGGGAUGACGGCCUUCGGGUUGUAAACCUCUUUCAGUAGGGAAGAAGCGAAAGUGACGGUACCUGCAGAAGAAGCGCCGGCUAACUACGUGCCAGCAGCCGCGGUAAUACGUAGGGCGCAAGCGUUGUCCGGAAUUAUUGGGCGUAAAGAGCUCGUAGGCGGUCUGUCGCGUCUGCUGUGAAAGCCCGGGGCUCAACCCCGGGUCUGCAGUGGGUACGGGCAGACUAGAGUGCAGUAGGGGAGACUGGAAUUCCUGGUGUAGCGGUGAAAUGCGCAGAUAUCAGGAGGAACACCGAUGGCGAAGGCAGGUCUCUGGGCUGUUACUGACGCUGAGGAGCGAAAGCAU
rnacentral:rRNA from 1 species